rnacentral:rRNA from 1 species
GACGAACGCUGGCGGCGUGCCUAACACAUGCAAGUCGAGCGGAGACAGUGAGUAGCUUGCUAUGAGCUGUUUUAGCGGCGGACGGGUGAGUAACGCGUGAGCAACCUUUCCCAGACAGGGGAAUAACACACCGAAAGGUGUACUAAUACCGCAUAAGACCACGGGAUCACAUGGUUCUGGGGUAAAAGAUUUAUCGGUUUGGGGUGGGCUCGCGUCCGAUUAGGUAGUUGGUGAGGUAACGGCCCACCAAGCCGACGAUCGGUAGCCGACCUGAGAGGGUGAUCGGCCACAUUGGGACUGAGACACGGCCCAAACUCCUACGGGAGGCAGCAGUGGAGAAUAUUGGGCAAUGGGGGGAACCCUGACCCAGCAACGCCGCGUGGAGGAAGAAGGUUUUCGGAUCGUAAACUCCUG